CUAGGAACCAGAGGCAAUGGAAUGAAUUACUCCUGAAGACACUCUAGGGACCAGUCCUAUAUUGAGGUUACCCAACAGGUCUUUCCCAUCUCUGACCCAUACAAUAGAGACUAGCCUAAAAUCAACUUGAGAAGAAUUUCUCAACACAAAGGGGAGAAGACAUUUUGAAAACAAUCAGAAAUAAUUUUUAUUUGAGGCUGCUCCUUGAAGUCUAGCCGCGGAGUACGUGGUGACGUUUUCCGAACUUCCAGUCUCAUGUCUCUCAUGGACAAACACAAAGUGAAGCGGCAACGUCUAGAUCGUAUAUUUGAAGAAAAGAGGCGAAGUACUUCCCCAAUGGAAAUAAUUGUUUGUCCAAAUUGGAAGCAAUGCAGUGCGAUAGAAUUGCGGUGUAAAGUUUUGUCUUACAUUUCUGAUAUCACAAGCCCUUCGUAA
rnacentral:lncRNA from 1 species